UCUUUUCACCAAAGGACUGUGCAGCUUUCUUUCUGGUGAUUUUAGGUUGCUUUCCAAAACAGGGGGAUUUGUGUGUGGGUCCUUUAGGAGCUGGUUUUUUCCUGCUUAUGUUGGAUAGCUUUUCUAGGGGUAUUCCUUGUUGUAGUUAAUACCAGCAAAGCCGGAUAUUAUGACACUCACCUCAGUUGUGCUGAGUCUGAAGGAUGCUUAUAGUGCUAGUGCUCCCCUAAUCAGGUCUCUCACUCCUCCAGGGAAGGCUGCGUACCUUAGGGUGGCUCCUCCCUGACUGUGAGGCUCCAUGGCUCAUGAAGGUGGCAAUUUUUUCUCUCCAGAAGGAAUUUCUGCUUCUUCCACCUCAGUCAGCACUGUCCCUUGUUGUGGGGGUUGUUUUUAUCCAAUUUUAAGUUCCCUUUUAGGGGUAAUUGUUCAAGAGGAGUUGUAAAUCUGUUGUGUCCCUGGGAGGAGGUGGGUUCAGAGUCUGUCUAUGCUGCCAUCUUGAUGCUGUCUCAAGAAAUUUUUAAAUGAAAGUUUUACAAUGUAAUUCCACAAAAGAAAAUAUCCAAUGGCCUAUAAAUCUAUGAAAGGUUCUAAGCCUCAUUAGUUAUCAAGAAAAUAAAAAAUAAAUCUUCAGUGGCACUCUACUCUGUAUACACAAGUUUGAAAUGUGGGCCAUUCUAAGUGUUGUCAAGGAUGCAGAACAAACCAAAACCUCAUAUCCUGAUGGGAGAGUGUGAGCUGGUGACAUGACUUUGGGAACUACAUUAGCUGCUCGGGGUCAUCAUAGGCAUAUCCUGUGAUCUAACAGUUCCAUUCUUUGUAUAAAACCAACAAAAGCUUGCCCUUCUGUUCACUAGAAGACCACAUUGGCACCAUUCACAACUCACAAAUGGGAGCCUGUCCAGUCCAUGUCACCAGAAGAACAUAAACACAUGUGAUAUGGUCACACUAUGAACGCUAGACAGCAUUGAGAUGUAUCUACAACUACACACAAGGAAAUACAUUGUGGGAUAUUCCACAGUAUAUUUUCACACUAUAUCGCAAUAAGAAUAAUCCAAAACUACAUGCAACAACAUGGAUGAAUCUCUCCAACUCCACCCUCCAAAAAACUAUUGAGUGAAAGAACCAGACACAAGUGAAUACAGAUGAUAUGAUUCCAUUUGUAUAAAGUUCAAAAACAGGCCACGCUUCCUCGGGCUGUAAGACUUGAGGAUCACAGUUACACUGAGGUGGGGGACACAAGGACUGGAGGGAACAAGCAUGCGGAGGGUCCCAGGGAGCUGGUAAGAUUCUGCUUCUUGCACUAGGCGCUGGUUUCAUAGGUUGGCAGUCUGUGGAGAUUACUGGGGUGUGCAUUUAGUGCACCAGCUUGUCCCGUGCACUCCCUGUAGCUUGCUGACCAGGGGCUUAAAUCAGCUGAAGAGAAUGAAUUUGCAUCAGGAUGAGUGAAGGUGAUGCCCUUGGCUUCCUGUCCCCUUCUCUGCUUCAUGUUUGUUUUGUUCUGCUUUUACUUCUAUUUAAUGUAAAUUUGAUGUUCCAACAAUAACCCACAAUUCCCAAGUCCAUAAUGAUAAAAUAAAUGGUUGAAUAAAUUAAUAAAUGAAAGAGAAGAGAAAAAUCUCCCUGUAGAAGCAUUCACACGAUUUAUGUAGCUGCUCCGCCCUCAGGGAGGUGGACCACACUUCCUGCUCCUCAGGUAGGCUGGGCAGAGUGGCUUCCUUCCAAAGAGCACAGUGUGGGAGGGAGGAGAAGAGUCAUUCACAGUGUAGACACUGGCCCACUCCCUCAGCCAGGUGACCAAGGUCGACAUCACCGCUGAUGAGGCAUGUUGGUAGGAUGUACACUUAAUGUGAUGUGAUGAGAAUGAUACUUUACUCUACGGUCUUCCUCCAAAAACCUAUAACCCCACUCUAAUCAUGAAAAAAUCACCAGGCCGGCCAAAAUUGAGGGACAAUCCACAAAACUGUCAAGGUCAUCAAAAACAGGGAAUGUCUGAGAAACUGUCAGAGCCAGGAAGAGCUAAGGAGAUAUAACAUGUAAAUGUGAUGUGGGAUCCUGGAAGAGAAAAAGGAUACUAGGUAAAAACUAGGGAAAUCUGUAUACAGCUUGGAUUUAAUUAAUGAUAGUGCAUUAAUAUUGGUUCAUUAAUUAGGACAAGUAUACUCCACUAAUUCAGAUGUUAACGACAGGGGAAAUGGUGAGUGUGCACUGGAACUGUGUGCCAUCUUUGCCACUUUUCUGUACAUCUAAAAGUAUUCCAAAAUAAAAAGUUUACGUAAGAGAAAAAAUAACUGACAUGAUAAGCAAUGGGUUAAACUUAAGCUAGGAAGCAUGAGUGUGGGGCCGAGUUAUGAACGAUGAGCAAGUACAAGAGCAGGAAUCAGCGCAGUUUCGUGGCCCAGCAGCCAGUUACGCUGCGGCGAGAACUCUGCCUCCUCCGUGAGUUUGAGCGCGUGUCCGGCGGUUACACUUGUGAACCCGAACUACUUUUCUGAACUUAAGCACGUUAGGGUGGGAGCUCCGUGUACUAUGACUUACUCAGAGAUCUUUUCACUUAAGCUCUUUAUAUAUCGCACUUCAUGCAGAGGGCUGAGCAAUGACGUAGGGAGUGUUUUUGUUAGUAAUUACAGACUAUUAAAAAUAAAUUUUCACUCCAUUACACUCUUUCAACAAAUAGAAUAGAAGCCUCAUAGACUGUUGGAAUUGAAAGGGACACUCAGAGAUUACUUCAUCUCUUUAACUGGAUAUGAAAUAACUCAGUGCCAGAGAAUUUGGGACUUGCCCUGGGUCACAAUAAAUUGGUGGGAGAGCUGGAAUUCACUUGUUCGAUUGAAGAAGGAUUUACUGAGCAUUUUUCAUGUUUCCAGCACUGUGAUGGAUGCCAGAGAUGUAAAAAUGAGAAGACUUUAUCCUUCAGGAGGAGGAGGCAGGGCAGGGAGAGGCAGAGGAACGAAUGGAUGAACACAGUACAGGGUGGGGGCGAGCCCGUAUACGUGAGCUCAGGUGCUGUGGAAAUGAGGAGCAGACCAGCUGACACAGUGGGUGUCACCUGGGCCCUUGGGAGAUGGGCAGCACACAUACAGGUGAAGAGGGUGGACACGUGUCCUAGCAAAGCCUCUCACAGGAGCCAUAGGCAGAGGGGUGACACGUGCCAUGCAGGCGCCUCUGUGCUGCUCUUGCAGAAUCCUGCGUGCAAGGAGUGGGUGCACCGAACCUGAAGGCGCUCGUCCUGGGGAGGCUUGUGCCGUUUAGGGAGCCGAGUCUUUAUCUCGCCAGAAAUGGACAGUUACUGACAGAUUCUGGACUUCCAUUGGGUCACUCAGGUGGCUCUGUGGAGGAUAGGGUUGAGGACAAGACUCAUUCCUGGGAACGCUGUUCAAGGGGCUCCUGCAGCUCCUGCGGGGCUGUGGAGGGUGGAGGGAAACACGGAGAGAAGGAGGUGUGUUCAAGACGGGUUGAAGAAAGAUGACUGACCACUAAUUGGAUGGGACGAGGUGAGCGGAUGGUGGAUGAAGGUGCUGGCCAACCCGCAGGUUGUUGGAACUUCAGACCUCGAGUAGCACACACAAGCCCUGGGCCCCCAUUCCCCCCUCUGUCCACCUCCAACCCAGGAAACAGCUCUGAGUACCGGCAUGUGGAGCUGUUUUUGAUAAGCAUCCAAAAAAAAACCAAACAACAAAACUCUCCUCCUAGGAUGAAAGGUACCUUCCUGCCCUGUAGUCAUACGAUCAAGAGAGACCAUCAAGACGAUUCUCUGCAGAGCCAAGAGGACUUGCUUCCGAGGCUUCUGUCUUCCCUCCUGGGCUUCAAAGAGCCCACCCUUGGUUUUAAGUUUACCUGAAAAAGGGCCCCACCUCGAAUGCUGCCCUGAUGCAUCCCACGUUAGGCUUUGGUGACUGUGGAGGAUCCAGCUGCCUAUAAAGAGAGAAAAUGGGAAGAGAGUCAGAAGAAAAGACGGUGAGUUCACCUGUAAACAAGCUGAACAUUCAGUAUGGGAAGUGCAAAAGGCAGGAAGAGAACCAAGUCUGAGACCCUGGGAGAUGUCCCAAUGUGAGAGUCACAGGUUGUGGUGAGGGCAGAUCAUGAGGCGGGGGCUGCUCCUCAAGGACAGCCUCCAGGACACCAAGACCCCUGGAGAGAAUAGUGGGCCGAGGAGACAAGUCACAGGUCGCCAGCAUUUGGGCAGAAGAAAAGUCUCCAAGAGAAGUUUCAAGGAAAUAGUCAAAAGUCUACCAAGAAAACUAGAAGAGACUUGUAUCCCAGAGCAUGGAAGUCUGAUAGUUUUCAGGAGACAGUGAUCAAUGGUGUGGAAUGUAGAGGAAAAGCUACUGAGAACAGCACUAAAAAUAGCCAUUGGAGUUGGCAUUCAGAGGACACAUGUGACUUUAAUGAGCGUGACAUCACUGGAUUGAUUGUCCUCAAUUGCAGGAGGGGGGUUGAUGAGUAUGUGGGUGAUGAAGAAGUGGAGACUGCCUUUCCAGACUAUUCUUUGAUGGUUUGGAUGGAAUUGAAAAGAGAAAGCCCAGAAAACACCUAGAGGCUGAGCCAAGGGGGCCUCUUGUUGUCGUCUUAUUUGGGGGGCGAUGGACACACGGAGGAGGGGCCCGGCCAUGGGCUGGCAUUCCCAGUGGGAGGCAGUGUCCUCAGACCCAGGAAGGAAGGAACAUGUGAACAUAGACAGGCUCGUAGGAGUGUGUGUGCCCCUGAGGGUGGGAGGACAGCAGGGAGAUGAAGACCAUGCUGGAAGACUUUCCUUACUUAUCUAUUCAUAGAUAUUUUUUCCAGUAGGAGCUAGAGUCAUCUGCUGAGAAUGAGGACGUUAAGCAGAGUCCUCGGGGAGCCGUGAGGGUUUGGAUGAGGACUGAGGAGUGUGGGCCAGGGAAUUACUGAGGAUAAAAAUAAAGAUGACAGUGAGGCUGUUGAGAGGGGAGACUCUUAAUGUUUGACGGCCACAAUCUGCAAGCUUGUAUCAUUUUUCCCCUUGUGCUCAGCUAACAGAAUCUUUAAAAAGACGUUUAUUAAGUAUCCCUUAAUAUAUUCUUGGCAUUAUGCGUUGCAAACAGUUCCUCAACCCCAGUACCCGGGAGGUAGGUAUGUUUACUACCUCAAUUUAUAAGUUCAGUGACUCCUGCAAGGGUGCACAGCUGGUAGAAAGGCAGAAAGAGAACAGGGCUGUUCAGCUGCAAGCCGUGUACUGUUAACCGACAGGCUGUAUUUCCUCCCAGGGAGUUAGAGCUUUAAGAAUUGAGAUGACAUUUUGCCUGGAACUCCUAAUCCACAAAAGAAGAUAUAUCAGUAAAUGCUCCCAAGCACUGUGAGGGAUUGAUAAGCUCAGGGAGCAGAGACAAGGAGCCCAGAAUCGGAGCUUUAGAAGCCUCCUCAGGGAGCUGGCGAGGGAGCAGCGAGCAGAACUGAGUCAGCAGCACCAGGCAGACAUGGAGCUGGGGCGUCCCAACGCAGGGGCUAUGUGUGCACAAGCAAGGAGGUGUGAGAAGGCAGCACAUCUUUCCUGCGUGCCCCUGAGUCGAGGGUGACGGUAUGUGGUGGGGGAGCUGGGGAGAUGUGGGACCAGAUAUUGAGGGCGUUGUGCGUCCUGAGAACUCACUUUAUCUGGUCAUCGGCUGGAUGACGUGUCAGGGUUUAAAGAAGAGGAUGACGUCAGACUUAAGUUCUAGAAAGAUGAUCCUGCCAAUAACAGGUAGGAUGGGUUAUAAACAGGGAGACUAGUAAUCAUAAAAGUUAUAUGUCCUCUGGGUUGGGCACUAGGUAAGUGAUUUACAGUCAGGGAUUCACUUGUCACAGAAACCCUGUGCGGGAGGGUCAUUAUUCUCACUUCACGGGUGAGGAGACCACGGCACUGACGGGUUGAGUAACUUGCCCAAGGUCCAGAGCUAGAAAGUGGCAGAUACAGAGUUGGAACAGGUGGACCAGCUAAGGGGGGGGUCUUGGUUGGGAGCCUGUUGCAAUGGCCUUGGUCGGUGGUACUGAGGACCAGGCCUAAGGCAGUAGGAGUGGAGCUGGAGAAGGAAGAGCCAGUCGCAGGUUCCUAGAGCCGAGGCCAUUGCUCUUGCCACGUUUUCUUGUUUGUCAUAGUUUUGCUGUUUGUAUCUAAACAUAGAUCUCAUGACACUUGUAGUGGGUUGAGUAGUGUCCCCCCAAGAUUCACAUCCAUCCAGAACCUCAGAACGUGAUCUCAUCUGGGAGCAGGGUCGUUGCAGAUGUAAUUAGUUGUUAAGAUGAGGUCACAGUGGAGUAGAUGGGCCCUGAAUCCAAUGUCUGGGUCCCUUAUAAGAAGAUGAGAGAAAGACAGAGAAGAAUGUGAAGCCAGAGACAGACUGGAAUGAGGCAGCUGUGAGCCAGGGAAACCAAGGAUUGCAGGGCCCCCAAAGCCAGGAAGAGGCAAGGAAGCUUUCAUCCCAGGACUGCAGGUGCGCACGGCUGUGCAGCACCUUGACUCCAGACUUCAGCCUCCAGACUGAGAGACUGCAGUUCUGCUGUUUCAGCCGAGAAGCCUGUGUUGGUUUGUGGCAACAGCUCGGGGUGGGACACUAACGUGCCUUGCUUUACCAAAGUUGAAUCUCCCUGAGGGUUAUGUUCUUCUGUAUUUAUAGUGCACACACAUAUGCGCAUGGUUUCUGGAGGAGAGACCAUUCACCAUUGACGACUCUUGGCUCACCAUCUUUACUGCAUUUCACUCCCUUUGCCUAUAGAUAACCUCAUUUGGAGUCCCUGGGGGCAAACCUUGACUUCGCCUUCAUGGUGUUACCCAUGCUUUAAAUAUUUUAGGUUCCCAAAGCAGAAUUCUCUUUUUGCCCUCGCUUGGUAGUAGCAUGAAGUUAUGACUGACUUUAUAAACAAAACACUAACCUAUGCUUGAUAAAGGGUGUCAAGUGCUCGAGGCUGCUGGGGGCUGGACUUCGCAGUGACUGCUCUUGUCAAGACCCAAACUUCAGGAAACUUCAGGAGCUGUUUGCAAAGCUCGUGGCAAGCAACUUAAGCAAUCAAACACAAAGGAGUCUUUUCCCAUCAUAUUUGAAAUCCUGAGUUUCUACAACACAGAACUGCAGAGUUUAGAGCUAGCCAGAUGCAACUGAUGUAACUCCUAUGGAACAAAAAGGAGCUAAAAUCAUUUUAAUUUGUCCCAAAACAGUGGCACUGACUUAAGUUGGACCCUUCAUCGUUUAUCCUUUUCUCUGCAAACCGUUUUCUUGGUGAUAUGUCGCUUAUCUUUGUCACUUAUUUCGUAAAUGCUCUGGGACUGGCUCUGUUUACUGUUCAUUUUCCACAGAGAAAAGCCGGACACAAAUGUAUUUGAGGUUUUCUGGGCUGUCUGCUCAGACUCAUCAGUCACAGAGACACCCACACGCACAUGCACACUCGCUCACGCACACUGCUCCCACGAGAGCAUGAGGUGCAGCCUGACAGUAGAGAGGGAGGGUAGCGACUCUGCUCCCACGAGAGCAUGAGGUGCAGCCUGUCAGUAGAGAGGGAGGGUAGCGACUCGAGCUGCCAGCGGCUCCAUGCCCGCAGCUCUGUCCCAGGCCAUGUGGCUCCUUUCGCUCUCUCCCCGCAGCAGGAGUGUUGCAGGCUGUGUGAGGGGGUAAAUGGAAGUCUCCAGAAGUGCAAAUGCACUGUAACAAGGCAGGCUCUGCAUUCCUUUCAAAGGUCACUCCUGCAAGGUUCCUGUGGCUUCUGUUUUGAUGAAUCAAUGUCAGGAGACAGGAUGCAGGUCUUGGCGUCAGGAGUGAGGAGGUUCCUGACGUUCAGAUUCGGCUGAAAUAUCUCCUGCUCAGAAAGGCCCCUCCUCCUUUGUGCCGUGUGAUCUCCAUUUCAUUUGAUCAUAACACUUAACCCAAGUCUUCUUGUUUAUUCGUUUAUUCACUGAUCUGUUUUCUCUCUGCGCAGACUGACAGACUCUUACCUGCCUCACCCACUGCCUUCCCUCUGGAGCGCGGAACUGUUCUGGUGCUGAUCCAGUGCUUGCCUUGCAGUCCCAGCUGGACAUGGACAUCGCCCCUUUGCGUCCGCCUAAAGCCCCCUAGGAAGACCACUUCACCCCUUUGAGAAUAAGAUGUUGGAUACCUGUGCGAGGGGCAGAGUAACACCUACUCCGCAGAACUGUGUGCAGAUGAUGAAUACAGUCCAGCGGGGCCUAGUACAGCGCCUGACCGACAACAGCUCCGCAACAGAAAGCCUUGCCCCCGUUUUGUCUGCCUGGCUGAGGCGUCCUUCGCGCUUCCAAGUCCUGAGCUGUCUCUGGCCGUAAAUAGUGUGCUUUCCUAUUUAUUAAGUAGUGCAGCUGAUAGCAGCAUUGUUGAAGGUGACUUGGUAGAAAGUUAUUUUGCUUUUUGAACAUAUAGUUUAUACUUCAAAUUUUCAAAUACUUCUAGGUAAUACAAUUCUAUAGUUGACCUUGUCAUUCAAUAUCACGUCUCUAAUAAGAGAAGUUUUCAUAAUAUAAACAUCCAUAAAACUAUUCACUUUGUAGACCUUGUCCCUAUUUAUGGAACUUUUAGUUUUUCUUCAAAGGCUUCUUAAGUUUUAAGAUGGGAAAUUACUUCAUUUGAACUCAUGUUUCCUAUUUUAUAUAUUUAGAGAAAACGUGGUCUGUCCUUAAAAAUAUUGUCCUUUCCUAUUUGUGGGUUCUGGAAUAGUCAUAAGAUAAUGAAGAAUCUACAGCUUUGGACCCUGGCUUCGAGUAGUAUUCACCUGAGGAGAUGCUUGUGAAAUUCCAGGGCCCAGCCCCCCGCGGACUAGAAUCUCUGUGGGUGCAGCCGGGGCAUCGUCUGUUCCCAGUCUUCCAGAGGUACCAACGUGUGGCGGAGGCUGGAAGCCACAGUCUGUCCCUCUCUGUGGUUCACCUAUGAGGGGAUUGAGGCCCUGAGGUUAAAUGAUUGGCCUGGAGACCCUCUGCUGAACUGGAACCCAAAUCCAGUUUUCCCACCUCCAGACCAAUGUUCCAAAGUAAUCGCAAACCUCGGAUUUUAGGAUGCAUAGUUUUCUUCAUGCGCACAAAACUUUCACCAUAUGGAAUAUUGCUUAAAUUAAUUUAAAUGUAAGGAUAUAAAGAGAAUAUUAGUGACAGAAGAAUUAGAAGAUACAUGUUUUCUUUAUUUUUUAGAAUUCCAUUAAGCACAUUUUAUGUGUUAGGUAUGGUGACUCUUCCAUCAUUAGGUCUGUUUGGUGAGAUAGAUUUUACCAUUCCCAUUCUAAAAAUGAGGAAAUUAGUACACACAGAGGUCAACAGAGUUGCGUUAGGUCACACAGCUGGUGAGCAGAGAGUCAGGCAAUGAACCCGAAUCAUAGGACACUUGGUCCCCUCUUUCCUUUCCUCCCUAGAAUAGAAUCUUAUGUUUCUACAAUUCUUCACCUUUUGUGCUUUUCUUUUCCUGCAGACAGUAUUAUCUCAAUUGAUUUGUUCAAUAAUUUAAUUAACUCUAUGGCAAAAUUCUCUUUCUUUAGAAAACUGGAGAAAGUUACAUGAAAAGAUAAACUUGUAAGUGUUCAGGCUGCAGCCAUGCUCACGGCGUGUGGGCGGGAUUGUGUAGGGUCAUUUCUCUGAUGCAUUGGUGUGGGGUUGCUUUGUCGUGUUUCCUUUUUGGGGCCUAGGUAGAAAGGGCAGGAAUGGAGAGCAGAAUGUACUUAGGUUUCACAAAGGGCCAUUUUAUGCUGAACUUGGACGGGCCCCAGUGCAAGAGGACAGAGGAAGAGUGUGGAGACGAGGGGUGCUGCCCAAGAGAACCAGACUAGACUCAGCUUGUCAGGAUGAGGGCUGGGCAUGACUUGCCUCUCCAGAAUUCAUUAAAAUGUUGAUUUAAGCAUUAACAAUUCUUAAAGCAAGACCUUUAGUGCUUAAAAACUUAUACUAACAAGUUUGUCUUUGUUCUCCACUGAGUCUAGAUGUUUUGCUCUCUAUAGAAUGAGAAUGAUCACAAGAAAGGCUCCCAAAGUAGUGGCAGUUCCUCUGCGUGAGUGGAAAAGCCAGGAGGCUCAGGGACACCAUGGCUAGCCUCGCUGAGCCGGCAUGCACUAGAGGGGAAUUUAGUGGCUAAUGCAAUUUGGCAUCAGCUUGAGCUACAGAUUAAAUAUAGAAAAUAACCUGUAUAAGUAUUUCUUUCUGUGGAGGUUAAAACCUAUUUGGAAGAACUAAAGUGGUUUUGAAAGUUAAGGAAAUUGAAAGAAUAAACCACAAAAUAUUAACCAUGACGAUGAAGACAAAAGUUUUAGGUCCUGAGAAUUAUAUCUGUGUGUUUAUUCAACAAAGACAUCUUUGAGCGUCUCCCACAUGCCAGGAAUUGUUCCGGGUCUGGUGGUAAGAAUGGCAGGGAGACAGCUGAGGACGCUGCCCUCCAGGGCUCGGGGAGCCCUCGGCAGACAGUCACUCAGUCGGUCAGCAGGCACGACCGUGGAGCUCUGUAAGUGCCCGGAGGACCUGAGCAGGUGCAGUUUGGAGACUGGCUGGUGGGUGGGAGUCAGGGAGCGUUUCUCUGAGGGCUGAGUUCAGGGUGGAGGCUCAGAGCCAGCCGCAAGAGGAGCCGCAGAGGAGCCUGUGAGGCAGAGGGAGCAGUUCAUGUAAGUGCCUGAGAGCAGCUGUGCGUUUGAGAGGAACGAAAGGAGGCCAGUGAUGGACACACGUGCACACACUGUGGGAUGGCCCGGGGUGGCGCCAGCUGGACCGACAGCCAGGAGUCAGGACGGAAAGUCCCAUGGAUGUUUUAUUUUGAAGUGUCCUAACUUCCUCUCCUACCCGUGUCUUCCCCAAUCUCAAGCACACACGUGUAACUUGGGAAAAGAUGGAAAAUAUGGAUUUCCAGAAAGAUGCAUCCUUAUGUCAAGUUUGCAAUGUCGCCACAAAUGACUUCUGCCCAUGCUGGGUUGGUGGGUGGUGGUCGUAAAUUCACCUAUUUGGAAACCGUUAGCAAAGAAGGCUCCUAUAUUUCUAUGGAAAGAAAACUAAUAUAAUACCCUGUCCAAAUUGAGUCUCCCAGAACACAAACUUCUUUGGAUACCAUGAGAAUAAAACCCUGUUUUGACAUUCAUAUCUUAGUCAAGUGAAAGUGUUGAGUGCAUUUCUGAGUCUAUGGAGAAAGCUGGUGUCUUAUAUUCCAAAUAUCUUUAAGUGUUUGUUUCUUUCAUUCUGUUUUCAAUGUCUCGUAUAGUCUUUUUCUUUUGCCACUUCCAUUUAUCUCUCAAAAUCACUGUUCUCAAUGCUUUUGCAAAAUCUUAUUUUAAAAUCAAGCUUCUUGUUGCUGUUUCUGCUGUGAUAGGAGAGGAUCUUGUGUCGUUCUUUUGACUUUUGAAGCACAAUAAAAUACACAGUAGAGGUAUCCUCUUGUGCCAGCGUUUUGGUAUCAGUGAUGUUUUCUGGGUGUCUCACAAGUAUGUCAACUUUUGAAUAAAAUAGAUCUUUAAACAAACAUGGCUCUUAAAAUGACUGUUUUCAGUUAAUCACAAUGUCAUGAUCAGAGCAUUUCAGUGGAAGUCCCGUGUUUUCUUAUCUUAAUUUAGAAUUUUUUCAAUUAACUUUGAGAUGCUGUUACAAUUCAACCUGCCUCUGGUGUUUUAUGUGCCUUAAAACUUGUUGCUACCGCAGGGUUCCAAUUACUCCUGCAAAGGAACCAUAUUACAUUGUCUCCAACUGAGCAUGUAAUUAAUGUCUCUAUUUCAAGGCUAUUCAGCAAAUUCAAAACCCAGAGACUCUGCUUACAUAUUUAGGGAUGCGUAGGACACUGGUGAUGUCUUCAGUGCAGUAGACAGCAGCGCCAGGGGAACUUGGAAGAGAAUGUGUAAUACUUUAUCAUGUGCUGCAAAUAUUUUAUUAUAACUAAACAGGUUUAAAAUAAAACAUGUUGCCCUAAAAAGUCUCUAUGGGGAUAGAAUCGCCCUCCCAGGGAGAGUUUUUAAAAUGGGUGAGUUGUUUUCAGGUUGUCACGAUGUCUGGGCAGAGGUCAGAAACGCUGAAUGUCUGUCUGCAAUGCCUGGGGCAGGUGUACCUAGAAAUCCUGCCGGACGUUUCUGUAGGUAAGACAUCUGUUUAUAGUCGUCUGAUCUUAAGCCUAACUUUAUUUUGCAAGUAAACACAAUUUUGAUACUCGCUGAAUUUUGCAGGAAUGCAACCACUGUGUAAAUCCAGUUACACAGUAUAACACAAGUUAUUAUACUGUGUUAGUUUUAUUUGGAACUUUACAAAGAACUGGUCACCAUUAAAAAAAAAAAUCAUGCCAUCAAUGGCAGGCAGAGCCUGCAGUAUUUGAGUUGCCAAUAAAACACGCCUGUACAUCAUGCAAUUUCAGCAAUUGCUGUCCUGAGGCUGCUGUGUUUAGGUGCUGCUGUCCCGUAAUUUAGAUAUGUCUUCCAGGCAGAUGUACCCUGCCCAAACGUUACCUGUUGAAAUAUACUUUUAUUAUGAAUUUCUUUCCUACGUGUUUCCUUUAUUACAGGUUUUGGGGGCUUAUGUCUUUAGGCAAGUUACUUUACUUACGAAUUUCAUUUUGGGGUGUUAGGGGGCAUUAUAUUAUAUUAUACUUUUACAGGAGAGCUAGGCAAGAUAAGGUUGAGAGCAAUUCUUCUGAAAUUCAUCACUCCCACAAGGAGAAGGGGGUGCCGUCUGUGCACACACACAUGCACUUUAGUGCAAGGAAAGAGCAAAAGGGAGCAUUGCCUGGACCCCAGCUCCUGCUGUGUGCCGGGCCGCUUAUCUCAUUUUUGUGUGCAGUGCUGAGAAAUGCCACAUGUGCUUGGCAUCUCUUGGCCCAAGAGCCACAUUCAGAGCUGUCUGCUUGACACGUGCAGAGCAGGGGAUGAGAGGAAAGGAGGAGACGAAUAUUCUUGAUGUUGCUGGAAUGUUGAAAUUAUUUAAAAGUUCUAUAAAAUAAGUGACAGACUCAGAGCCUGAUUUAUGGUAACACAUGAGAUUUUCACAAGGUAUUAUCAUGAAAUUUGCAAAAAGAAUCCCAGUAGAUGCACCAGGAAUGCUUAUGCAUGUCAGCCUCGGUGCACUGGGGGCUCUGGCUCUCCGUUCACAGCUCUCGGGACUCGUCUGCAGUGCUGAGCGAACACCGAAAUGCUACACAUAUGUUUAUAUCCACUUUUAGCCACGGAGUUGUUUCAGAAGUGGUAUCUCCACUGAGCCAAAUCCCAGGCAUUUAGAAAGUACAAAAUUAAAAACUUGUAAAAUGAUUCAAAAAAGUAAAAAGAAGGAAAAAGACUGAGAGAUACAGCACUUGUAAAUCUGAAGCAAAAUUAUUUUUAAAACGUACCAUGUGAAAAAUAAACCUUAUCAGAAUUCAGUACUAAUCCUUCUUGGCUAGUUGAUCAUAGUCUUUAAAAGCUGACAAAAGUGCACCUUUCUGAUACAUAGAUAUUGCCUUUUUAAGGUGUUUUUAAGCAUUGAAGAUAAUUUUACUGUAUAAUAUUGCAAAUCAUUGAUUUACACACAAUGAACUUGGGAUCAGCGACAGGUUGGCUUCUUUAUAAAAAGUCCAGGUGAGACUGGAGGUUAGCGUUUAAGGAGGAGCAUGUCUCUGUGCGUCUCCUUGCUACUGACCAGGGUGUUGCCCUAGGAGGGAGUAAAGGACGUAGGAGGGCCACCUGCAGGAGACAGGGCGCCUCUGCUGACAUGGUGGUGUUUUGCAGCCCCUGCAACAAAACUGAAGAUGACUAGAAUCGGCCUCUAUAAACCCUUUUUUCUUAGGUUUCCUUUGGUUGCAAAUUGUAGAAACACAAACGAAACUGGUUUAAGCAAAAAAGAGAAUGUGCUGGCUCACUUAGCUAAAAUGUCCGCGGAUCUGAGUUGCCUCAGGCCUGGCCAGAUCCAAGGGCUCAGAUUUCGGUAUGGGGUUGAGGCUGGCUCUCUCCUUUCCUUUUCUUGGCUCUGUGCUGCUUCCUCUGCUUGACUUCACUCUCAAGCAGACUUUCUCCACACGUUGGUUGGCAGAAGCACCAUGCCUAAAUUGUUCUUAUCCAAGCAGAAUGAAACUUCCUUUUUCCAAAAUCUAGAAAAAAUAUACUGGGACGUGUCUUAUUGAACCAAUUCAAGCCACACGCCAUGAAGCAAGUGCUGUGCUGUGGGCUGGAGAUGGAUGGGUGAUGCUGACGCUGGGCUAAGGCCCGGUGCCUCCACGGGGGAGGCGUGCCAGCCCUGCAGAGCCUGAAGCAAGUGCACUGAGAUGGGUGAGGAGAGUCUGCACCCUCAGCCUGCUGGGGGCCCAGCCCGGGGGAUAGCCAGGUGCCGAGAAAAUCUGCCUUGCUGCCUUCACAGUGACUAAAUCCUGAUUCUGUUCAUCUUCUUACAUCAUGAGAUGUAAGAAUGCAUAGUUAGAGAAUGACAGAAUUUUAGAACCAAAAGAGGCUUUGUAAAUUAUGUAGUUCAAAACCAUCAAUUUAAGUAAUUUUUGAGAAUUCGCUCAUCUUUAAAUUGAAUCCUGCUAAUUGCCAGAACUGCUCUCUUCCAGCAGUGCAAAGUACUUUAGAGGAGUGAUACGAAAUAGGAAUUGGAAUUCUAUGAAAGCACUCACUGUGGAUCUUAGUGAUAUCGUAGGGAUCACUCCUAAAGUGGACCACAGGGGUUAUGAACAAAAGUUUACAUAAAACUGAAAAACAAAUCCCAUCCUUUUCCUUUCUCAACUGUGUUACCAUUUCCAAAGUCUUUAUUGUUAUAGUAACUUAUUGCUCAGUCUAAGAUGUUUAUUGAAAAGUAAUUCUGGUUUUUUUCUUCUUUGUAUUCUUGGUUCCUCUGGUCCCUGUUUCUCCUAAUUAUUGCACAUAAGCAUUUUGGGACCCCUCUUUGCUGGCAGAAAAUAAUCCUUCCAUAAAUGUAUGUGUGUUCAUUUCAGAAAAUGUACACCUUUGAAAGGAAUGUGAAAGGAACCCCAAGUGGACAAAUUCUCCCAGCCUUGAGGAUAGUGUGAGGCAGGUGUCCUAUUUCAAAGCAAGCCCAGGCCACAGGGAGCCACAGGCACUUGUCUGUGUCUGCAGCUGGUUAGCUGAGUUCCUUAGAGCUGGUGCCAAGGUGGCUAAGGUCAGGGAUCAGAUCUCUGAGAGUGCCUGAAGCAUGAUGCGUCUGAGGCCACAGACCACGUCACUGCCACUGUCAUGGAGGGAAUAAGCCCUGAAGGAUGGGGAGAGUGACGCUGGAUACUCCCCAGCCCUCUGAGCUCGUCUGUGGAGCUAGCUGUGCUGUGCUGGGAGCACAUCUUCCUUCCAGAGGCGUUUAAGGCAUCAGUGGGAACCGUAAGAUGAUGGGGGAAGGUAUCUGUAUGAUGUUUGCUGGCCCAUGAAAGUUUAUUUAAGGUCUCAACAUAAUUAGAUGUCUUUGUCAUAUUAAAGACACUUAUAUUAAAUUUUGCAGUAAAUACUGAUUUUAAAAUUUCCAAAGGUCAAAAACUGAAAUACUAAUAGAUGCUAUAAUAGGAUUAAAGGGCAAGAAGAGCUAGUGGUGCAUCUGAUCCCAGAGUGCAAUGAGAUUAUUCUCAGGUGGAUGAGUCCUGAGCUUGAGCAAGAAAAUGAGCUCGAUGGAGUGGACCCAUGACAGCCAGCUUCCAUGAACUCUCUGCCUUUUGGGGUUUUGUUGAUAUUCCUCAAUCCUGAUUUCUUUUUGGAAAACAGAAACACAUUAUCAGGGAAUCUCAGCAAAGCUUAAUGGAAGUAACUGAAUUUGUAUUUAAUCCUAAAUUUACUGGUAUCAACUAUUAACUAGUCGAGUUAAUUAGAACAAUGUAUCAGAUAAAAACUCAUAAUGACCCUCGACUAUGUCAAUGUUUUAUUUAUUAAAAUCUUAGUCAGAAAUGCUGUUUGCUAUAGUAGUUACAUUGGCAAGAACCCCAAUAUGCUAUGAGAGUUCAGCCAAUUAAGUUAAUGAUAUAUUUAAUGGGUUAUUAUAGUGACAUUAUUUUGUUCAAUUGAGAUUUUAAUUGUGUGGAUAGAAUACAUUACACAUUAAGAAAUUUUAUUAGACUUUUAUAAAAUAGUGACAUUACAUUAGCUACAACAUAGAUUUAUGGUGUGAAUAAAUAAUAGCAAAAUAAUCAAAUUUUGACUAGUAUUUUUGGCAGAAAAUAUCAACAUAUUAAGUCAUUAGGAUCCUAUUUACAAUUUUUAAAACUCUCAUUAAUUUUUAUUAGAAUCAUACCUUCUGUCUUCAUUAUUAGUCACUGUUAAUCAAUUCUUGAGUGCCUGAAAUAAACACGUCUCCACGUGUGAGACACUAAGCCAGUCACUGUGGGGAAGCAAAUGAUUAUAAACAUUGUUGAUCUUCUUAUGGAAUUUACAGCGUGGAUGGGGUGCAAGACAUAAAAUACUUAAAAUAACAAUUAGUGGCAUAAAGCAUCCGUGAUAUCCAGGGAGGGGUUGAGUGUGGAUGCUCUAAGAACUCAGAAGCAGAGUGAGACCCUCGUGGGAACUGAGCGAGCGCUCCAGAGAUGAACAGAGUGCGUGUUAGUGGGAUGUGUUCGAAAGCUCACAGGUGUGUCCAGUGUCCACGCACACGGACCUUGUCAGUCUGAAGAUGACCCUCCUGUCUAUGGAAUAUUUAGUUUUUAAAGUUGUGUUUGUUCACUUUGUCUCCCUCUUUCAACCACAUUUUCCAUACGGCACCUCUUUGUGACAUUUAAUGUAAGACCCUCUGCUCUGUUCAUGUAUAUAUGUGUAUGUACAUGUGUGUAUAUAUAUGUACAUACACACAACGUGCAAUAACGUGUGGGAUAUACUCUUAAAUUCACAAACAGUUAUGUGCACAAAUGAAAGAGCAAAGUGUAUCAGUCAGGGUUCUCCAGAGAAACAGAACAAGUAGGAUAUUGAGAGAGAGAGAUGAGAGA